UACGUAGGGACCGAGCGUUGUCCGGAUUUAUUGGGCGUAAAGAGCGUGUAGGCGGCCAGGUAGGUCUGCUGUGAAAACUCGAGGCUCAACCUCGAGACGCCGAUGGAAACCCUCGAACUAGAGUCCGGAAGAGGAGAGUGGAAUUCCUGGUGUAGCGGUGAAAUGCGCAGAUAUCAGGAGGAACACCGGUGGCGAAGGCGGGUCUCUGGGCCGAUAUUGACGCUGAGGAGCGAAAGCGUGGGGAGCGAACAGG
rnacentral:rRNA from 1 species